GAGCAGGGACGGUGAUGGGUCGACGACGAUGAUUCUACGACGACGACGAUGACUGGGUGCUGAUGUGCUUUUUUCUUUCUUUCUUUUUUUUUUCUUUCAUGUACUGUAUGAUUUUUUUACUUCAUUUUGAUCUCUUUUCGUUGCAUGCUAUUAGAAUUGAUAAACUCAGAUUGCUUUUAAGAGAGUAAUAUUGUUUGUUUUGAGGUAUUCUCACCAAAGGUGACUAUAACAACUAUCCAUCG
rnacentral:lncRNA from 1 species